rnacentral:rRNA from 1 species
CCGCCGGCGACCGGCGCACGGGUGAGUAACACGUAUGCAACCUGCCCCUGUCAGGGGGACAACCCGCCGAAAGGCGGGCUAAACCCGCGUACAUGCCACCGGAGCAUCCCGGAGGCAGGAAAGGCUUCGGCCGGACAGGGAUGGGCAUGCGGCGCAUUAGGCAGUAGGCGGGGUAACGGCCCACCUAACCGACGAUGCGUAGGGGUUCUGAGAGGAAGGUCCCCCACACUGGUACUGAGACACGGACCAGACUCCUACGGAAGGCAGCAG